rnacentral:misc_RNA from 1 species
GAUGAAGAACGUAGUGAAAUGCGAUAAGUAAUGUGAAUUGCAGAAUUCAGUGAAUCAUCGAAUCUUUGAACGCACAUUGCGCCCGCCAGUAUUCUGGCGGGCAUGCCUGUUCGAGCGUCAUUUCAACCAUCAAGCCCCAGGCUUGUGUUGGAGCCCUGCGGCUGCCUCAGCCUCCCAAAACCAGUGGCGGGCUCGCUAUCACACCGAGUGCAGUAGUUUACUCUUCGCUCAGGGCGUGUGGCGGGUGCUAGCCGUAAAACCCCCAACUUCUCAAGGUUGACCUCGGAUCAGGUAGGAAUACCCGCUGAACUUAAGCAUAUCAAUAAGCGGAGGA